CAAUAGCGUAUAUUAAAGUUGUUGCGGUUAAAAAGCUCGUAGUUGGAUUUCUGGUGGGAGCGAUCGGUCUGGCGCUUAGCGCGAGUACUUGCAUCGUCUCCGGCCAUCCUUGGGGAGUGUCUGUCUGGCAUUAGGUUGUCGGGCAGAGGAUCCUCAUCGUUUACUGUGAAAAAAUUAGAGUGUUCAAAGCAGGCUUAUGCCGUUGAAUAUAUUAGCAUGGAAUAAUAAGAUAGGACUUUGGUACUAUUUUGUUGGUUUGCGCACCAAAGUAAUGAUUAAUAGGGACAGUUGGGGGUAUUCGUAUUCCGUUGUCAGAGGUGAAAUUCUUGGAUUUACGGAAGACGAACUACUGCGAAAGCAUUUACCAAGGAUGUUUUCAUUAA
rnacentral:rRNA from 1 species